rnacentral:tRNA from 1 species
UGGUGUAGCUCAAUCGGCAGAGCAGCUGAUUUGUAAUCAGCAGGUUGCUGGUUCGAUUCCGGUCACC